rnacentral:rRNA from 1 species
GGGUUGUGAGGUUAAGUGACUAAGCGUACACGGUGGAUGCCCUGGCAGUCAGAGGCGAUGAAGGACGUGCUAAUCUGCGAUAAGCGUCGGUAAGGUGAUAUGAACCGUUAUAACCGGCGAUUUCCGAAUGGGGAAACCCAGUGUGAUUCGUCACACUAUCAUUAACUGAAUCCAUAGGUUAAUGAGGCGAACCGGGGGAACUGAAACAUCUAAGUACCCCGAGGAAAAGAAAUCAACCGAGAUUCCCCCAGUAGCGGCGAGCGAACGGGGAGCAGCCCAGAGCCUGAAUCAGUGUGUGUGUUAGUGGAAGCGUCUGGAAAGGCGCGCGAUACAGGGUGACAGCCCCGUACACAAAAAUGCACAUAUUGUGAGCUCGAUGAGUAGGGCGGGACACGUGGUAUCCUGUCUGAAUAUGGGGGGACCAUCCUCCAAGGCUAAAUACUCCUGACUGACCGAUAGUGAACCAGUACCGUGAGGGAAAGGCGAAAAGAACCC